UACGGGGGGGAGCAAGCGUUGUUCGGAUUUACUGGGCGUAAAGGGCGCGUAGGCGGUCGUGACAAGUCACUUGUGAAAUCUCCGGGCUUAACUCGGAACGGUCAAGUGAUACUGUCGUGCUAGAGUACAGAAGGGGCAACUGGAAUUCUCGGUGUAGCGGUGAAAUGCGUAGAUAUGACAUAGAACACCAAUUGCGAAGGCAGCUCGCUACACAUAUAUUGACUCUGAGGCACGAAAGCGUGGGGAUCAAACAGG
rnacentral:rRNA from 1 species